rnacentral:misc_RNA from 1 species
GUCAGAUAGAAUGAUCACGGUCACCCCAACCCGAUGAUUUGUCUCUCAUAAUCGAAAUGAACCUCGAAACAACCAACGAUUUCCCUGAUUCAUUCAUAGUUGGUGACUAUAUACUGAAAUCAAAGCUGGGAGGGAGUUCACUUUCCUCAGUUUGGAAAGCGGAGCACAGAGUAACCGGUGAAGAAGUGGCAGUGAAGCAAGUUUACCUCUCUAAACUCAACAAACACUUGAAGAACUGUUUGGAUUGUGAGCUUAAUUUUUUGUCCUCUGUCAAUCACCCCAAUAUCAUUAGCCUCUUCGACGUGUUCCAGGGGGG